GGUUGGAUAAACUGACACCCAAUCCUAUAUAUACUUUAAACAAACGAUGAGAAUCAGGAUUGAGUCAGGUGUCAAUUUAUCCGGUCGGCAAUCAAUAUCAACGCUUGAACUGUCACAGAUGCACAAUUGUAGGAAGCAAUCACUCCAGUCGUACCGAGAGCUUUUAACAAAUAUCUCUGAAACUAAUACUUUGCGAAAACAAGAAGUUAUUUAAAACCAUACUGCCGUCAACAUAGUAAACAAUCAUCGAAAUGCAAUGAAGGCCGCAGCAUCCUAAAUAAUUACCUGAAACAUUCUUCGCAAACGAUGUUAAUAAGAAACAUUUAUAAUAUACAACAGUACAAUUGUCUUAAUUCGAUGAAAAUUGAAAUUUAGGGUGCAAAGUAUGUGUAAAAAACAAAAUUGCAGAACUUUUAAUCGUUUCUACGAUGUUGAUAAUAUUAUGGGAAAAUGAAUAAUAAACAGAAAAUUUCAAUUUUAUAACUGGAUUAUAAUAACAUCGUAAUUUCCAAAACAAAGUAUAUCUAUAUCUAGUGGUUCGUAUAUUGAAAUAAGUAAAAUAUUAGACUAAUCCCUAAUUGAUAUUUUCCUCUAUAUCAUUUGUCUACAAAAUUAGCUGUAUCAGGUAAAAUUCUUAAAUCGAGAAUACGUUGAUUUAUAAGAAUCAAAUGGAGCAUUAUGUAUAUUAAUUUCGUACCUCAAAAUCGUGAAGUACAAAUUAUACGGAUUGUGAAGCUAAUUCGAUGAAUACCUUACCUUUUUAACUUAAUGAUUGCUUACUUUUUAUUUGCUACUUAAUUUUUUAAAAGUGCUCAUACCGUAAGUCACAGACACAUACACUCGCAGGCACGCACACACGAUAUUUUUAAAAUAUUUGUAAAUACAGUCAUAUUUCAUUAAGCGGAAAACCUCUAUAAGAGUAUAAAACUCGAUAAGGCAAAGCAUCCAUGAUUUAAAGAUUUUUCGGCCUUGAAAUUCGAGUCAACCAAGGGACAAUUGUACUAUAAUAUUGUAAAGAAUCUUGUUUUGUAAAGUGUACAAAUACACAUAUGUAUAAUGUAAGUACAUAAUCAGUAAUGCAUACAGUUAACAUAAUGCAUUUCAACUUAUAAAGCAGCAAAUUAAAAAGAAGUUAAUCGCGAUACAAGCACGUUGCAACUAACUUUACACAUCUGCAACUGAUCAUGCUUUUAAUUAAUAAUUAAUUAAUUAAUAAUUAAUUUCAAUCCUGUCAGUGACAAGAUUGAAAUGAUCUGUAAAUAAAAACGUAAUAGAAUGAACAUUUCCCCCAAUAAAUAAAUGAACAAUGUUGCAUAUGUACAAUGAACGACAAUAUUUAUUUGAUUUUAUAGCACUUUUUAUUCUAUUGAGGUAACAAUAACAUUACUGUAACGUUAUCAAUGUGAAAGUUUAGGAUUCAAUAAUAUAUUCCUUAAAAAUCUUUGUUCCCUGUUUAGAUGAUAGCAUAGAUGAACAGACGAUUCACUGACAUCUUCUCUGGAAUUUCAACAAUUUCUAGCUAUAGUACUGUAAUUAAUACUAAAACAAUGGCAGCAAAUAACUAUGCCUAUAAUAGCAAUAAAGUGAUUUAUACAUUUCCCCUGUAACUAUAUCUAUAUCUAUAUAUCCUUUAAUAAUCCAAUAUACCCUAAAAUUUGCAAACAAUUUAUACGCAUUCUCAAGAUUUGUAACAAUUUUGAGGAUACUAUAAAAGAAAGGAUGGUUAAUCAUCAUUUGCAUUAUUGUCACUGAAGACUGUAAUACUGCAAAGAAACCUGGAACAAAUUGUAUAAUAAUCGUAAUAAUUUCAAUUGAACA